rnacentral:rRNA from 1 species
CGUAGGGGGCGAGCGUUGUCCGGAUUUAUUGGGCGUAAAGCGCGCGCAGGCGGUUCAUUAAGUCUGGUGUGAAAGCUCCCGGCUCACCUGGGAGAGGGCACUGGAGACUGGUGGACUGGAGGGCGGCAGAGGCCGGUGGAAUUCCCGGUGUAGUGGUGAAAUGCGUAGAGAUCGGGAGGAACACCAGUGGCGAAGGCGGCCGGCUGGGCCGUGCCUGACGCUGAGGCGCGAAAGCGUGGGGAGCGAACCGGAUUAGAUACCCGGGUAGUCCACGCUGUAAACGAUGACCACUAGAUGUGGGGGGGUAUCGACCCCCCUCCGCGUCGGAGCUAACGCGAUAAGUGGUCCGCCUGGGGGAGUACGGCCGCAAGGCUA